UUGAAACGCUGUUUCUCAUCUGAUCACCGAAGUUAAGCAACGUUGAGCCUAGUCAAUACCUAGAUAGGUGACCGCCUUAGAAUAGCAGGUGCUGUAAG